rnacentral:piRNA from 1 species
AUGCCAGCCAUGGAUGUCUUUCAUUCUGCAUA